rnacentral:tRNA from 1 species
GAGGGUAUAGCUCAGUGGUAGAGUGCGUGCCUAGCAUGCAUGAGGUCAUGGGUUUGAUCUCAGGUAUCUUUA